rnacentral:rRNA from 1 species
GGCGAACGGGUGAGGAACACGUGAAGAAUCUGCCCUCCACUUUGGGAUAACACCGGGAAACUGGUGCUAAUACCGAAUAUUGAAACAUAAGUGGCAUCACUGAGUUUUGAAAGAAUUUCGGUGGAGGAUGACUUCGCGGCCUAUCAGCUAGUUGGUGAGGUAAUGGCUCACCAAGGCAACGACGGGUAGCCGGCCUGAGAGGGCGACCGGCCACACUGGGACUGAGACACGGCCCAGACUCCUACGGGAGGCAGCAGUGGGGAAUAUUGGGCAAUGGAGGAAACUCUGACCCAGCGACGCCGCGUGCGGGAUGAAAGCCUUCGGGUUGUAAACCGCUUUCAGUAGGGAAGAAGCGAAAGUGACGGUACCUACAAAAGAAGCACCGGCUAACUAUGUGCCAGCAGCCGCGGUAAUACAUAGGGUGCAAGCGUUGUCCGGAAUUAUUGGGCGUAAAGAGCUCGUAGGUUGUUUGUUACGUCGGAUGUGAAAACCUGAGGCUCAACCUCAGGCCUGCAUUCGAUACGGGCAAACUAGAGUUUGGUAGGGGAGACUGGAAUUCCUGGUGUAGCGGUGGAAUGCGCAGAUAUCAGGAGGAACACCAAUGGCGAAGGCAGGUCUCUGGGCCAAUACUGACACUGAGGAGCGAAAGUCUGGGGAGCGAACAGGAUUAGAUACCCUGGUAGUCCAGACCGUAAACGGUGGGCACUAGUUGUGGGGA